rnacentral:rRNA from 1 species
UACGUAGGGGGCUAGCGUUGUCCGGAUUUAUUGGGCGUAAAGAGCUCGUAGGCGGUUCGGUAAGUCGGGUGUGAAAUCUCCACGCUCAACGUGGAGGGGCCACCCGAUACUGCCAUGACUCGAGUCCGGUAGGGGAGUGUGGAAUUCCCGGUGUAGCGGUGAAAUGCGCAGAUAUCGGGAGGAACACCGGUGGCGAAGGCGGCAUCCUGGACCAACACUGACGCUGAGGAGCGAAAGCCAGGGGAGCAAACAGG